CUGCGGGGCUCCAGGGACAUUUCCCCAUCCAUGCUGGACUUGAGAGGAAUAAGAAGUUUAGAAAAUAAAGUGAAACCCAGAGUUGUCACACGUGCCCACCACAUGGCUGCUAAGUGCAACAACAUACACCCAUCAGGUUGGACUGUGUGCACAGGAAGUCAAUUCAUUUUUCCUUAUUGCUAUGACACCAGAGGACUCAGUGCAUUCAGACACAUUGUCUUUACUUACAGAAUUCUUGGAGAGUUUCUGAUUUCCCUUUUUAAGGAAGGGAAUCACCUUCCUCACAUUACUGUUUUGAGCCCAUUCUUUCCAUUCCCUUUCCUGGGCUAUCGUACAGCAGCCAGAGGUUCUAAGUCAGUAGGAGCAGAGUAAGGGGAGAGCACCAACCCAGCCUCUCUCGUGGCUCAGGGAGAAGGCAAGUCCUAGUAAGUGGGGAGAAAGAGAAAACCAGAGAAUCCCCCUUUCCCAGUCUGCUUAGAAGGCUAAGUAUUAGAGUGCCUUGCAUAUCCCUGCCAUAAUCCCUGCCCAAGGAAGGCAUAAUUAACUACCAUCCUGGGUUAUCUAAAGCCCAGUAAAACAAAACAAAACAAAAAAACAAAAAAAAAAAACAAAAA
rnacentral:lncRNA from 1 species